CUGGUGACUCUGGUCCAGAUGUGGGUGGUUCCUCUUUACUUCACCAUCAAACUGUACUGGUGGCGUUUUCUGUCCAUGUGGGGGAUGUUCUCCGUCAUCACUAGCUACGUCAUCUUCAGAGCCACCCGCAAGCCGCUGUCCUGCAGGACGCCGAGGAUGGUCUACAAGUGGUUUCUGCUCAUCUACAAGCUGAGUUAUGCAGUCGGGGUUCUGGGCUACAUGGCCAUCAUGUUCACCAUGUUCGGCUUCAACGUCUUCUUCAGGAUCAAAGCAGAGGACUCGAUGGAUGUUGGUGUGAUUAUGCUGUUUUAUGGACUUUACUACGGCGUCAUGGGCAGAGACUUUGCUGAAAUCUGCUCGGACUGCAUGGCUUCUACAAUCGGGUACUACAACAAGGGUGGCAUGCCCAGCAGGAGCCUAACCAAUGAUAUCUGUGCGGUCUGUGGUCAGAGGAUCCUGGUGAACGUGGAGGAGGAAGGAUUUAUAGAAGACACCUACCAGCUCUCCUGUGGACACUUGUUCCACGAGUUCUGCAUCCGUGGCUGGUGCAUUGUGGGUAAAAAGCAGACGUGUCCUUACUGCAAUGAGAAGGUUGACUUGAAGAGGAUGAUGAACAACCCCUGGGAGAAGACGCAUGUCCUUUACGGGCAGCUUCUCGACUGGCUCAGAUAUUUGGUUGCUUGGCAACCCAUCAUCAUUGGUAUCGUUCACGGCAUUAAUUUCUCCCUGGGCCUCGAGUAAAGCCCCGAGGAACACCGCCAUAAGUACGACUGGAGUCGAGUUACACUCAGGACACGUGUGAUAGCAAACUGUCACAGUAGGCGCUACAAGGAACCGAAUGCAGCUGCUUUCAAAGUUUUUCACUUCGUGUUCUCGGACUAAACUCUUGCACGGUUUACUGCAGAGUAAACGGAAAGCGUCAGAGUCUCAACACGACCUCAAGCUUGCUGCCAACCCAAACAGAGUGAUUGGAGCACAGAGCCAGUAUUUUGACAGAUGAAUCUAGUUUGGUCUGGAAGUGUUGCUGUCAUGCAUGCUGUUUCUGUUGAGCUGAAAGAUGCUUUACUUUGUUCUGUCUUACAGAUUUUCAUGUUUAAUUUGCACACUCCCCUUUUUUUUGUUUCUUUUUUUUAAAUAAAAAUUUCUCUUUCUCAUUAGACUUUAUCUGUAUUGGAUUGCUUAUAAUAAGGACAACUCUGGGUAACAUUUGGACACAUUGAUUAAUUGUAACAUGACAGUAUUUGACAGUGCCAAUCAAAUUACUGAAGUACGCUGUGUACUAUGUGCAAUGUUGAUUCUGUUUGUUAUGCUGAACUGUGGUAGAAAUGAAAGAAUACGUCUCCCACAGCAUUGAUAAAACGCAAAGGUCUGGUGUGACUCUCGGUAGCAAUUUGUUGCACAGUUUUCAUAGAAUUCAUAAGGUGUUGUAAUUUAUCCUGCCAUGUUAAUGAAAGUGAGAAUAAAUUUGGUCUUAUGCACUAGCUUUCUGGCAUAUUUGAUCAUGUGUCAUUCCAAGUUUCAACAGGUCUCAUCAGGUGUUAGACUUGUAAUAAGUGAAUCAUGUUUAUCAAAGUCACAGUUCAGGUUUGAUGAAAAAUAGUUUUCCCUUGACUGUGCAGCCACAGUCGGAUGACAUUAAUCAUUCUGAAUUCUCAGCCUGGAUUUCUGACAUGGUCUUCUGGUUGUUUCAUGCCUCUAUAGUCACAAAGUGCACACUUAAAUGUUGGGAUUUCUAUCAUGCUUUCACCUAAUGUUACUCUUGUUCUGAUACAAAUCACCUCAGAGCUUAUUGUGUCCUCCAGGUUCUCUUCUAGUGAGGCCCAUUAUAAACGGUUUCCAAAUUUCAGCUGAAAAUCUGAAGAAUACCAUCCCUUUCCUGCAGCCGUGUCCAUAUAAAUAUCUCCAGGAUCAUGAAAAAUUAGUAUGUGGUCCAGCUAUAUAACACGCAUUGCACUGGCACAUUCAAAAUGUCUUUUUUUUUCUAGUUAAACUUUGCCACACACAAACUACUUUAUAUUAUAUAUUUGUUGUUUACUUGGAGGGGUGAUACUGUUUCCAUCAACCACCAGUUUUGUAGAACCUAAUGAAAAGUUGUUUUCUUGGAUUCAGGAUUUUCAUAUUAAAGGAAGAUUGUGGUUACUGAAAGAAAACAUUUUUUUCUGUUGUCAUGGAAACGAAUAAGUACAGCUUGAUGAGAUGUUAGGUGCAUUAAACUCCAGAACUAAAAUGAAUUAAGUGGCCAAGUGCCAAACACUGUAGUUCCUUUAGUGGCCAUUUUAGGCUCUACAAACGAGGCAGUCCUCAU